CCCCACUGCUAUCGGGGUGGGACUUAGACAUGCAAGUCGAACGCCUCCCAGCCGUCGGAGGAGGAGUGGCAGACGGCUCAUUAACACGUAGCUAACCUAACCUCAGGACAGAGAUAACCCCGGGAAACUGGGGCUAAUCCCUGAUAGAUGAGGAGGCCUGGAAUGGUUCCUCGUCGAAAGGGCUCUGGGACCGUGCUCUCAGCGCUGCCUGAGGAUGGGGCUGCGGCCGAUCAGGUAGUUGGCGAGGUAACGGCUCACCAAGCCUAUAACCGGUACGGCCGUGGGAGCGGGAGCCCGGAGAUGGGCACUGAGACAAGGGCCCAAGCCCUACGGGGUGCAGCAGUCGCGAAAACUCCGCAAUAUGCGAAAGCGUGACGGGGCUACCCCGAGUGCUGUCCGCUGAGGAUGGCUUUUCUCCGGUGUAAUGAGCCGGAGGAAUAAGGAGAGGGCAAGUCUGGUGUCAGCCGCCGCGGUAAUACCAGCUCUCCGAGUGGUGGGGGUGAUUAUUGAGCCUAAAGCGUCCGUAGCUGGCUCGGCAAGUCUUCCGUCAAAUCCAGCGAUCUAAUCGUUGGACUGCGGGAGAUACUGUCGGGGUAGGGGGCGGGGAAGCCGACGGUACUCUUAGGGUAGGGGUGAAAUCCUAUAAUCCUAGGAGGACCACCAGUGGCGAAGGCGGUCGGCCAGAACGCGCCCGACGGUGAGGGACGAAAGCUGGGGGAGCGAACCGGAUUAGAUACCCGGGUAGUCCCAGCUGUAAACGAUGCGGGCUAGGUGUUGGAGUGAUCAUGAAUCACUCCAGUGCCGCAGGGAAGCUGUUAAGCCUGCCGCUUGGGAAGUACGGUCGCAAGACUGAAACUUAA
rnacentral:rRNA from 1 species